rnacentral:rRNA from 1 species
UGGGGAAUAUUGGACAAUGGGCGCAAGCCUGAUCCAGCAAUGCCGCGUGUGUGAAGAAGGCCUUCGGGUUGUAAAGCACUUUUAUCAGGAGCGAAAUACUAUCGGCUAAUAACCGGUGGGGCUGACGGUACCUGAGGAAUAAGCACCGGCUAACUUCGUGCCAGCAGCCGCGGUAAUACGAAGGGUGCAAGCGUUAAUCGGAAUUACUGGGCGUAAAGCGUGCGUAGGCGGUUUGUUAAGUCUGUCGUGAAAUCCCCGGGCUCAACCUGGGAAUGGCGAUGGAUACUGGCAAGCUAGAGUGUGAUAGAGGAUGGUGGAAUUCCCGGUGUAGCGGUGAAAUGCGUAGAGAUCGGGAGGAACAUCAGUGGCGAAGGCGGCCAUCUGGAUCAACACUGACGCUGAGGCACGAAAGCGUGGGGAGCAAACAGG